GUGUAUAUAGGUGGCGCAUUAUAGCACCGGUUCUCGUCCGAUCACCGAAGUUAAGCAGUGUCGGGCCCGGUCAGUACUUGGGAGGGUGACCACCUGGGAACACCGGGGGAUGCAGGCU